rnacentral:rRNA from 1 species
AUUGAACGCUGGCGGCAGGCCUAACACAUGCAAGUCGAGCGAGCGGCGGACGGGUGAGUAAUGUAUGGGGACUGCCCGAUAGAGGGGGAUAACUUCUGGAAACGGUAGCUAAUACCGCAUACUAUCGGAUAACCCAUAUGGGAUUAGCUAGUUGGGGAGGUAAUGGCUCACCAAGGCGACGAUCCCUAGCUGGUAUGAGAGGAUGAUCAGGCACACUGGGACUGAGACACGGCCCAGACGCAGACGGAGGCAGCAGGGGGGAAUAUUGCACAAUGGGCGCAAGCCUGAGGCAGCCAUGCCGCGUGUAUGAAGAAGGCCCUAGGGGUGUAAAGUACUUUCAGUCGGGAGGCGUUACCCGCAGAAGAAGCGCCGGCUAACUACGUGCCAGCCGGCGCGGUAAUAC